AUUGAACGCGGCGGCAUGCUUUACACAUGCAAGUCGGACGGCAGCAUAAAAGAGCUUGCUCUUUGAUGGCGAGUGGCGAACGGGUGAGUAAUGCAUCGGAACGUACCGAGUAGUGGGGGAUAACUGUCCGAAAGGAUGGCUAAUACCGCAUAUUCUCUGAGGAGGAAAGCAGGGGACCUUAGGGCCUUGCGCUAUUUGAGCGGCCGAUGUCUGAUAGCUAGUUGGUGGGGUAAGAGCCCACCAAGGCGACGAUCAGUAGCGGGUCUGAGAGGAUGAUCCGCCACACUGGGACUGAGACACGGCCCAGACUCCUACGGGAGGCAGCAGUGGGGAAUUUUGGACAAUGGGCGCAAGCCUGAUCCAGCCAUGCCGCGUGUAUGAAGAAGGCCUUCGGGUUGUAAAGUACUUUUGUCAGGGAAGAAAAGCCUGAGGAUAACACCCUCAGGUCAUGACGGUACCUGAAGAAUAAGCACCGGCUAACUACGUGCCAGCAGCCGCGGUAAUACGUAGGGUGCGAGCGCUAAUCGGAAUUACUGGGCGUAAAGCGAGCGCAGACAGUUAUUUAAGCAAGAUGUGAAAGCCCCGGGCUCAACCUGGGAACUGCGUUUUGAACUGGGUAACUAGAGUGUGUCAGAGGGGGGUAGAAUUCCACGUGUAGCAGUGAAAUGCGUAGAGAUGUGGAGGAAUACCGAUGGCGAAGGCAGCCCCCUGGGAUAACACUGACGUUCAUGCUCGAAAGCGUGGGUAGCAAACAGG
rnacentral:rRNA from 1 species